rnacentral:rRNA from 1 species
UACAGAGGUCUCAAGCGUUGUUCGGAUUCAUUGGGCGUAAAGGGUAGGUAGGUGGUCUCAUUUGUCUGGGGUGAAAGCCUUGAGCUUAACUCAAGAAGUGCCCCAGAAACGGUGAGACUAGAGUCUUGGAGAGGGUCGUGGAAUUCCCGGUGUAGCGGUGAAAUGCGUAGAGAUCGGGAGGAACACCAGAGGCGAAGGCGGCGACCUGGACAAGUACUGACACUCAACUACGAAAGCGUGGGGAGCAAACAGG